GAUGAACGCUGGCGGCGUGCUUAACACAUGCAAGUCGAACGAUGAAGCCCAGCUUGCUGGGUGGGUUAGUGGCGAAAGGGUGAGUAACACGUGAGUAACCUGCCCUUAACUCUGGGAUAAGCCUGGGAAACUGGGUCUAAUACCGGAUAGGAGCGUCCACCGCAUGGUGGGUGUUGGAAAGAUUUAUCGGUUUUGGAUGGACUCGCGGCCUAUCAGCUUGUUGGUGAGGUAAUGGCUCACCAAGGCGACGACGGGUAGCCGGCCUGAGAGGGUGACCGGCCACACUGGGACUGAGACACGGCCCAGACUCCUACGGGAGGCAGCAGUGGGGAAUAUUGCACAAUGGGCGCAAGCCUGAUGCAGCGACGCCGCGUGAGGGAUGACGGCCUUCGGGUUGUAAACCGCUUUCAGUAGGGAAGAAGCGAAAGUGACGGUACCUGCAGAAGAAGCACCGGCUAACUACGUG
rnacentral:rRNA from 1 species